rnacentral:sRNA from 1 species
AGUAAUGUCCGCCCCACGCGGACAA